GCGAGCUGGAGCUGGAGCUGGUGUUCAGUAGCUGAUGGCGUGGGGCUUCCCUGGCCGGGCCCAUGCAGGUUUGCUUAGGCCAGUACACUCGCGUGGGGUCCACACUGCCUGAGGCAGGCACCCCCGCGCCCCAUCCUUGUAGGUUUGUAAUAUGAGCGCCUCCUCCAAGCAGCCCAGAAGCCGGCCAGGCCCUGAAUGGGUUCUGGAGAGUCUUGCAGCCCCAUCCAGCACAUGACCCAGGACAGGGCCACCCAGCUGUCCUCCCCAGCCCCAUCCAGCACCCAACCCCACCCUGCAUCAGCUGCUCUCCUUGGAACCAAGCUUGAGGGGUGGGGCAAAGGUGACCCCAGCACGCAGCACAGUGCCAGGCAUGGAACUGACACGUGAUGCCCGUCUGUUUAACGAGUGAACAAAGGCACCAGAGGCUUUCUUCCCUUGAACACCAAUCUUCCAACCUAGAUUAGCAGCCGAGCGAGAGGCGGCGUCUGAACAGCACCCUGGGAUCAGGCAGGGCACGCUUCCCACAUGUGUCUUGCUCGUUCACUAAACAAAUAUUUGUGCUUGGCACCAGUUGAUAUGUUGGCAUUGUGUUUCAUCUGAUUGUGUGUUAUUUAAAAAACUCCUAUUACUAAAUCCAUUAAGCAACCAAACUGCUAGAGUCACUAGAUUAAAAUGCAUGACACACAACUACAGGAAAAUGUCAGGAAAUGCAAAUCCAGGCAGGCGUCCUCAGACAUAUCAGCUAUGAGGAAACUCUCUCUAGGAGAUCUGUGUUUUCCUCCCAAAAGAAGAUCAUCUUUCCAGAAAAAGAGGAUUUUACAGUCAAUUUGCUAAAAUAAUAUAAAUUUGUCUCCUUCCGGGGACUUACAUAUGUUAGUACAUAAUUGGUGUCUUUAUUGAUGGCUGUAAGAACCAAUACCUCCAAAAUAAACAGAAUUUGUACAUUA
rnacentral:lncRNA from 1 species